UUCACCCGUUGGCGCCUGUGCCCAAAUCCUUCUAAGACCGAAGUUUGCUGUUUCCACCUGUCCAAUAAGCUGGCACAUAAGACAGCCUUACAACAUAACUAUUCGCCAAAGUAUCUCGGUGUUACACUGGACAGAAGCCUGACAUACCGAUUGCACAUAGAGAAGCUAAAAAGUAAAAUAAGGACCAGGAUAUUUUAAUUACGAUACAUAAAUAACUACUAAAACAUGUUUUCUGCAAGAAAUUAGUUAUCUUAUUAUAUUAUAAAAUAUUUAUUAUCCAUCUGUGAUGUUUAUUUCUUGUGAAGAUAUCGAAGUUUCGCUGUGUAGCACUUAUCGAUAUAUAAUAUGAUCAAAAUCGACCCGUCCACAUCCCUAAAAAUCCACACAUACACAUUUUUACGCACAUAUACAAAGCAGUAUAACCACCAAAAUGGCUACGGCUUGAGUAUUCAAAUUUGUAUUGAGAAAAGGCAACUAUAUCCUGUCUUUAUUUGCCUCUCUAUCGCUCGAAUAUGCAAUACGCAUGCACUCUUCGUCAAAAUCGGUUUCAAACUUUUUCGACUGAGUACGCGCAAUAAACGCCUAGUAGUAGUAUUUAAAUGUUUACCGUAUUCAUUUAAAGCAUCGUAGGACAAUGCCGCUAUGUAAACUGUAAGGUGGGUCUUAAAUUAGUGUGAGUUAUUUUGGCACCGGACUCAACCUUCACGUUACAAUAUUUAAAGUAUUGCGCUGUCAUAGUAACGAAAAUGAUAAACACGUCAAUCGGAGUAAACAAGUAACUAAAUGAUGCAAACAAGAAAAUAUUGCAAAAUAGGUACAUAUAUAUGUACCGAUAAUUAUUUUGUGUUAAAAAUAUGAGGCAAAUUAUACUGCCCGAUUAUACGGACUACAUAUUAAAAACGAUUAUCUUGGAAACAGUCAAUAGAUGUCGAACCACCAGCAAAGUUUUUGAAGAGGUGUACCUAGUUCCUGGUACCAACUGGAAACUGAAACUAAUAAUCUACACUCAAGAAAAUGAAAUAUAGUCACAGAAAACUUUAAUGUUUUAUUUUAUUAAAGAAAAACGUUAAAAAAAUGUGUAAACAGAAA